rnacentral:tRNA from 1 species
UCAGAUUUAGUUAAAUUAUAACGUUUCAUUUACGCUGAAAAUUUCCUUAUACGGAAUCUGAA